rnacentral:rRNA from 1 species
CAGUAGCCGCGGGAGUACGGAGGGUGCAAGCGUUAUCCGGAUUCACUGGGUUUAAAGGGUGCGUAGGCGGAUCUGUAAGUCAGUGGUGAAAUCUCCAGGCUUAACCUGGAAACUGCCGUUGAUACUAUAGGUCUUGAAUUUUGUGGAGGUUAGCGGAAUAUGUCAUGUAGCGGUGAAAUGCAUAGAUAUGACAUAGAACACCAAUUGCGAAGGCAGCUGGCUACACAACUAUUGACGCUGAGGCACGAAAGCGUGGGGAUCAAACAGGAUUAGAUACCCGCGUAGUCCCUGUCUCUUAUAC